GGAUGUGAGGAUGAUCUGGCUGUGACAUCUGUCACCCCAUUGAUCACCAGGGUUGAUUCGGCUGAUCUGGCUGUCUAGGCGGGUGUCCCCUUCCUCCCUCACAGCUCCUCGUGCAUCCCUCCCGAAGCUGUGUGCUCUGUUGAGGACGACCAUCCCUGAUAGAGGAGGAUCAGUCUUCUGUCAAGGGUAUACGAGUAGCCUCGCUCCCAUGCUAGAACUUCCAAACAAGCUCUCAAGGUCCAUAAAAUAUCCAUGUAUUACCUGGGAGCUGUUCAUUCAUUGACUUACCCAGUGGUUCCUAACU
ensembl:misc_RNA 7SK 7SK RNA